rnacentral:rRNA from 2 species
AGAGUUUGAUCCUGGCUCAGAACGAACGCUGGCGGCAGGCUUAACACAUGCAAGUCGAGCGCCCCGCAAGGGGAGCGGCAGACGGGUGAGUAACGCGUGGGAACGUACCAUUUGCUACGGAAUAACUCAGGGAAACUUGUGCUAAUACCGUAUGAGCCCGAAAGGGGAAAGAUUUAUCGGCAAAUGAUCGGCCCGCGUUGGAUUAGCUAGUUGGUGGGGUAAAGGCCUACCAAGGCGACGAUCCAUAGCUGGUCUGAGAGGAUGAUCAGCCACACUGGGACUGAGACACGGCCCAGACUCCUACGGGAGGCAGCAGUGGGGAAUAUUGGACAAUGGGCGCAAGCCUGAUCCAGCCAUGCCGCGUGAGUGAUGAAGGCCCUAGGGUUGUAAAGCUCUUUCACCGGUGAAGAUAAUGACG